rnacentral:rRNA from 1 species
CACGUAGGAGGCGAGCGUUGUCCGGAAUCAUUGGGCGUAAAGAGCGCGCAGGCGGCUUGGCAAGUCGGGUGUGAAAUCCCGGGGCUCAACCCCGGGACUGCAUUCGAUACUGUCAGGCUAGAGGUAGGUAGGGGAGAUCGGAAUUCCUGGUGUAGCGGUGAAAUGCGCAGAUAUCAGGAGGAACACCGGUGGCGAAGGCGGAUCUCUGGGCCUUACCUGACGCUCAGGCGCGAAAGCUAGGUGAGCGAACAGG